rnacentral:rRNA from 1 species
UACGAAGGGGGCUAGCGUUGCUCGGAAUCACUGGGCGUAAAGGGCGCGUAGGCGGCGUUUUAAGUCGGGGGUGAAAGCCUGUGGCUCAACCACAGAAUUGCCUUCGAUACUGGGACGCUUGAGUGUGGUAGAGGUUGGUGGAACUGCGAGUGUAGAGGUGAAAUUCGUAGAUAUCGCCUGGAACGCCAAAGGUGAAAACAGACAGCUGGGAGUGUGCUGACGCUGAGACACGAAAGCCAGGGGAGCGAACGGG